rnacentral:lncRNA from 1 species
GCUGCUAUAUCUUGCAUCGCUAUUGUCAAUAGCUAUUAGUUUUUAAUUGAUAUGUGUCAUCACUAUGACGUUAUGCUACUAUUACUUUUAUACAUGGAUGCGACAGUUUACUCAUUUUGGGCGUAUAUUGGACUAAUGUCUUUUUUAAUGUGCCAUUCUUCGCUGCAUAAAGAUACAAUAAGAGGAUGGGGGAAGUAUAGAAAAAAUGAGAAAAAAAAGAAAC